rnacentral:rRNA from 1 species
ACGCGAAAGCUCCCUUCGGGGAGCAAGUAGAGUGGCGCACGGGUGAGUAACACGUAGGUAAUCUACCUUCGGAUGGGGAAUAACCCCGAGAAAUCGGGGCUAAUACCGCAUAAUGCAGCGGCACCUAAUGGUGACAGUUGUUAAAGCGGGGGAUCGCAAGACCUCGCGUCUGAAGAGGAGCCUGCGGCGGAUUAGCUAGUUGGUAAGGUAAAGGCUUACCAAGGCGAUGAUCCGUAGCCGGCCUGAGAGGGCGGUCGGCCACACUGACACUGACAUACGGGUCAGACUCCUACGGGAGGCAGCAGUCGGGAAUUUUGGGCAAUGGGCGAAAGCCUGACCCAGCAACGCCGCGUGAAGGAUGAAAUCCCUCGGGAUGUAAACUUCGCAAGAACGGGAAGAAUAAGUUGGUGUGAAUAUCACCAGCGAUGACGGUACCGUUUGUAAGCUCCGGCUAACUCCGUGCCAGCAGCCGCGGUAAUACGGGGGGAGCAAGCGUUG